rnacentral:rRNA from 1 species
AGUGAACGCUGGCGGUAGGCCUAACACAUGCAAGUCGAACGGCAGCACAGUAAGAGCUUGCUCUUACGGGUGGCGAGUGGCGGACGGGUGAGGAAUACAUCGGAAUCUACUUUUUCGUGGGGGAUAACGUAGGGAAACUUACGCUAAUACCGCAUACGACCUACGGGUGAAAGCAGGGGAUCUUCGGACCUUGCGCGAUUGAAUGAGCCGAUGUCGGAUUAGCUAGUUGGCGGGGUAAAGGCCCACCAAGGCGACGAUCCGUAGCUGGUCUGAGAGGAUGAUCAGCCACACUGGAACUGAGACACGGUCCAGACUCCUACGGUAGGCAGCAGUGGGGAAUAUUGGACAAUGGGCGCAAGCCUGAUCCAGCCAUACCGCGUGUGUGAAGAAGGCCUUCGGGUUGUAAAGCCCUUUUGUUGGGAAAGAAAAGCAGCAGGUUAAUACCCCGCUGUUCUGACGGUACCCAAAGAAUAAGCACCGGCUAACUUCGUG